AGCUACUGGUGGUACCCAUGAACCUACAAUCUACCACUGUUUGAGAAAGGCAUGCAAAAGUGUAUUUCAUAUGCUGAAGAUGUUCCCUGUGAAGUGACUCCCUUUGGUUCAACGACAAGGUUCUGUCUCAUCAGACUUGAUCAGGAGUUAUUCACCAGUCACAUCCUGCAGGUUCCUUCUUCUGAUGACUCAACUAUCAUGUCAGGAACGUCUGUUUUGACGAUGCUGUGCUGAGAGUUGAAGUAGACCAUGGACAGAGGCCGGCGCUCAGUGGGGAUGCAGCAUGAAGCUGUGGCUGUGUUGAUGCCAUUGACUUUAAGCUGG